UGCGUAGGUGGUUUAUUAAGUCGUAUGUGAAAACCCUGGGCUUAACCUAGGAAUUGCAUAUGAAACUGAUAGGCUAGAGUGCAGUAGAGGGAAGUGGAAUUUCCAGUGUAGCGGUGAAAUGCGUAGAUAUUGGAAGGAACAUCAGUGGCGAAGGCGACUUCCUGGACUGUUACUGACACUGAGGCACGAAAGACGUGGGGAGGCGAACA
rnacentral:rRNA from 1 species